rnacentral:rRNA from 1 species
GACGAACGCUGGCGGCGUGCUUAACACAUGCAAGUCGAGCGGAAAGGCUCCUUCGGGGGUACUCGAGCGGCGAACGGGUGAGUAACACGUGAGUAAUCUGCCCUUGGCUUCGGGAUAACUACCGGAAACGGUGGCUAAUACCGGAUAUGACCACUCCUUGCAUGAGGUGGUGGUGGAAAGUUUUUUCGGCCAGGGAUGUGCUCGCGGCCUAUCAGCUUGUUGGUGGGGUAAUGGCCUACCAAGGCUUCGACGGGUAGCCGGCCUGAGAGGGUGACCGGCCACACUGGGACUGAGACACGGCCCAGACUCCUACGGGAGGCAGCAGUGGGGAAUAUUGGACAAUGGGCGGAAGCCUGAUCCAGCAACGCCGCGUGAGGGA